UACGGAGGGUGCAAGCGUUAUCCGGAUUCACUGGGUUUAAAGGGUGCGUAGGCGGGCAGGUAAGUCAGUGGUGAAAUCUCCGAGCUUAACUCAGAAACUGCCUUUGAUACUAUCUGUCUUGAAUAUGGUGGAGGUAAGCGGAAUAUGUCAUGUAGCGGUGAAAUGCUUAGAUAUGACAUAGAACACCUAUUGCGAAGGCAGCUUACUACGCCUAUAUUGACGCUGAGGCACGAAAGCGUGGGGAUCAAGCAGGA
rnacentral:rRNA from 1 species